ensembl:snRNA U6 U6 spliceosomal RNA
UCACUUCAGGAAUGCAUAUACUAUGAUACAGAGAAGAUUUAGCACACCCCCUGAGUAGGAAUGACCACAAACUCAUGAAGCUUUUCAAAUUUUU